rnacentral:rRNA from 1 species
UAGGGAAUCUUCGGCAAUGGGGGGAACCCUGACCGAGCAACGCCGCGUGAGUGAAGAAGGUUUUCGGAUCGUAAAGCUCUGUUGUUAAGGAAGAACGAGUGUGAGAAUGGAAAGUUCAUACUGUGACGGUACUUAACCAGAAAGGGACGGCUAACUACGUGCCAGCAGCCGCGGUAAUACGUAGGUCCCGAGCGUUGUCCGGAUUUAUUGGGCGUAAAGCGAGCGCGGGCGGUUAGAUAAGUCUGAAGUUAAAGGCAGUGGCUCAACCAUUGUAGGCUUUGGAAACUGUUUAACUUGAGUGCAGAAGGGGAGAGUGGAAUUCCAUGUGUAGCGGUGAAAUGCGUAGAUAUAUGGAGGAACACCGGUGGCGAAAGCGGCUCUCUGGUCUGUAACUGACGCUGAGGCUCGAAAGCGUGGGGAGCGAACAGG